GAGAGUUACAAAAGGUGAGAAAAUGGUGAAAUUUGCCUGAGUGGUCAGGAAAGCUCUUCUAGAAUGAGUAAUUUUUUACUUGGGUCUUGAAUUUGCACAGGAAUUUACCAACAUCAGAAAAAGAAUGAAUAUUCAAGGCAGAGGGAAACGAGUGGCACAAGACAGGCACACAUGUGUGCUUACUGGGGGUAUACCAAGGGCCGGCAAAAUAUUGAGGGAGCCAUUGAAGAUAUUCUUGACAUCCACCUUGGAACAAGUACUUUAAGAUGACCAGCAGGUCACUCACUAGGCACUACUCCACAUCUUCAUCGUCAAAUGGGUAAGGCAUUUCGUUCUCAACUUUGGAUGUAUAGAAUUACCUGAGGAGUUAAAAAAUAUACUGAUGUUUGGAUCCCUACAAAGAUUUUAUACUAAUUGUUGUUGGCUGUAGGUUGAGCCUUGGUAGUCUUUAAAGAUCCCAGGGUGAUUCUAAUGUGUAGCCAAAGAGAAAAUCACUUGAAUGAAGAC
rnacentral:lncRNA from 1 species